AAGAACAGUGAAGGUCGGCACCAAUGGGAAAAGGAAAGAAGAAUUCGAAUAUGGUAGGAGAAGAAAUGAUAGAAACCCGAAAGAACCCCCUUUUUCUUUUGUAAUAUUUGGCUAGGGAUAAACAAAGCAAAAAUGAAUGUGACCAACCUGAAAAGUUGAGAAAGAAAUCUGCAACAAAGCUAGAAACAAAAUUGACACUCAGUUAGCUAGAGAGUUGUAACUGAAUCCUUUUUGACCAAAUGGGACUCUUCUAAUUCCAUCAGCUUCUAAACCUUAGACUCCUCCAAG
rnacentral:lncRNA from 1 species